rnacentral:rRNA from 1 species
AGCUCCAAUAGCGUAUAUUUAAGUUGUUGCAGUUAAAAAGCUCGUAGUUGGAUUUCGGGCGUGGAGGUUCGGUCCGCCGUUUCGGUGUGCACUGUCCGUCUGCGUCUUUCUGCCGGGGACGCGCUUCUGGCCUUAAUUGGCUGGGACGUGGAUUCGGCGAUGUUACUUUGAAAAAAUUAGAGUGUUCAAAGCAAGCUAAAGCUCUGAAUACAUUAGCAUGGAAUAACGCGAGAGGACUCGGUCCUUAUUUUGUUGGUCUUCAAGGAUUGAGUAAUGAUUAAGAGGGACAGUUGGGGGCAUUCGUAUUUCAUUGUCAGAGGUGAAAUUCUUGGAUUUAUGAAAGACGAACUUCUGCGAAAGCAUUUGCCAAGGAUGUUUUCAUUGAUCAAGAACGAAAGUA